ensembl:miRNA
GUGGGGUGGCGGCGACAUGGCGGGGGCGGCGGGCCCUGCGGAGGCUGUGCGCCUGACCCCGACCACCCCGCAG